GCUGUGUGCGCCCUAACCGCGGGAGGUCGCUGUCGUAGCCCUUGUACAAGCUGUGGAGGCAAUCAAAUGUGGCUGGUGAAAGGCUCGCGGAGGCUCCUAGGCGCCUGCUCUCUUCAAACCUGGACUAAAUUCCUGGAAUAGCUAAUUGCCAGGCCCACCUGGCACACUACAGGCCCACCACAGGGAAGGAAAUCUGGGGAACAGCACGCCCUAAUAGGGCAGGGAUUCUCACACUGAGGUGUUGCCUCUGCCCUGAGAGCGCCUCCCCUCCAUCUCCCCUGUUCUGCCACAGGCACCAGGACCCUUGAGUCACCCUGACUGAGAAUCUUUGAGUCACAUUUGAUGCAGAGUUCCUGAUGGAAAGGGCUCUGAACUUGUGGGGACACCCAUACAUUUACCUUACAGAUGAGGAAACUGUGGCUCAGAGAUGGUGAAGUGACUAAAAAGGAGUACAGAUCAUACAGCGAGGAGGACCAGGAACAUGAACUAGAACUUGGGUGUCCCUUGCAUCUAUGAUGGUGAAAGUAACAUUUACUGAGCUCUAUGCAUGUUCCGGCACGGAUCCAGACACUUUAUAGUUACUAUCUUCAAUUGGAACAACCCUAAGAACCUGUUCCUUCUCGGUCUUUCACAACAUUGACUUCCUGUGUCUGCCCUGAAGAAAACCCUGUGAACAGGAGUUACUGCAAACACAAGAAGUGCUGGUACCCAUUACUAGGAUACCUACCUGAGUCUUUUUUAUGAUGCUACAGGGUUCUGGGAUGUGCCAACAAAAAGGCACCGAUGAACAAACAAUAUCAGAGCCACCAGUGAAACAAAAUAAAAGGGAUGCUGACUCUUACUGAAGGGAAUAAGUUGAAGACAGACAAGAGGGAAAAAUGGAAUUGACAUGGAUGAUCGGAAGGCCAAUACUCACCCCUGGUCAUGCUCCAAGGCCACUUCCGGGGGAGUACUUUUUGAUUCUUUAGCAGCUAAAUCUUCUUGGAGGAGGCUGUUGCAGAAUCCCCGCAGGAGAACAGUACCACCCCAUUUAUCUUGGAUCUGUGUGGCAUGGAGUCAGGAGUAGGGUGUCCCCUACAUUUGGAGGAAAAUGUCAUGGCUCCUGGCUAGUGAAACCCUAGCAGCAGUGACAGCAGUGUUCUAGGAGAGUGGAGUACUCCAAGGCGUGGAAUGGAUGAACAAUGGCAAACGCCACACAGGAAUUCGUGGAUUGCAUGCAUGAGACAUCACUGCUGAGACUGAGACUCACUGAAAGAACUUGCACAAAAUCAACUUUUAAAAGGCAGGCCAGGUCUACUGGAACCCAGGUCUUUAAGCCUUGAAAGACAAUGCAGCAUGCCUGGAAAAAGAAAAGGUUUUGGGAGCAGACACCUGAGCUCAGUGUUGCCGCAGGACUUCAUGCUAUCCCUGGGCCACAGGUACUUCAGCUCACACUGGACUUGGAGCCCGACCCCACCCAGCUUCCCACUGCCAUCUGGUGGUCAUCCGGAGCCCAGGGCCCAGCUCCUGAUGGGCCUUCAUCAGCAAUCUCCUUCAGAGUGCUGUAAAGCCUGUGGGCAACCCUACUUCCGCCCCUGAAAAAGUUGGCAUGAGAAAGAAAGGCCCGAUAUCUUGCCUCCAAUGGUGGCAGAGAAGUAUGAGCACAAAAAUCCAGAUAAUGUGCCAAACACAAAAACCAGGACUUUAUAAGAAACAACACCGAAGCUGCUGAUGCCUCAAAUCCUGCCUUCCACUGGCAUGUUGGAUCUGGUCACCCAUGAACACAGACAUCAAAGCAAUACCCAUGUGUCUGUGGUGAUCAUGGACAGCAUGCAACUGAUUGUGGAUGAUAGCUGGGCAAAUGGGGAUAUCCAAAUGCCAAUGGGUACUCACUGAAGGAGCAGAAAUAAUAUGGAAGGAUGUACAGGUAAUAUCAGAGUGAACAUUGGAUAAUAAUUUAGUUUUUGAGAUAAUAUCUAGGUGGGUGAGAGUAAUACAUAUUUUUGUGGACAAGGUCUGAGAAGGGUUUAACUACGUGUCUGUAGAUAAUGCCUGACUGAGAGUGGGCAAAUUUAGACUGUGCAGAGGUAAUAUGUCUGCGGAUAACAUCUCGUUUGGUAGAUGACAUCUUCAGAAAAUGUGGAUUAUAUUCAGAGGUCUGAACUGAAUGGGGGAAUAUCCAAAUGAUGAUGGUAGUAGUUGAGUAAGCAGAAAGUAAUAUUCAAGUAUGUGUAGUCAAUAUUUAGGUGAGCAUGGAUGUGAGAUGUUAACAUGUUAAGAUGUGAAGUGAGAGAUCAAUCUGAGUAAAAUAACUCAGUGCCUGAGUGAACACACGUGAUAUCUGAGUCUUUGUGGUUAAUAUCUGAAUGUGUGAGACUAACAACCAUGAUUUUAUGGGUGAUAUCUGGAAAAGGUUAGUUAAGUGAGCAUGGGUGAUAUCUAUGUGUGGAUGAUAAAAUGAAAGCAAGUGUGUCUGAUGGGUGAGUGACAUCUAAAUGACUAUGGGCAUUGUUAAAGUAACUGUGGGUGAUACCUGGUUUUCAGUGGUGGCAUCUGAGUGAACAUUAGCACUCUGGUCUAUGUGGGUAACAUAUAAGAAUAAUGUGGGUAACAUCCACAUUUCUACUGGUAACACUGGAGUGAGCCUGGCUAACAUGUAGUAUCUGAGUGAGUGGCAAACAGUCUUUGUGGGUAACUUCUGACUGCCUGGGUAACAUCCACUCUGUGUAGGUAACAACAUCCAGAUAAGCAAGGCCAAUUCUUGCACCUGUGCUCUGAAUCACUUCAUGUUCUGCUUUCUCAGGCUCCCUUGCUCUGUGGACUGUCCCUGCUCUCUGCUGAGCCUUUGACCUUCCUUUCCUCUGUCUUGGCCCAUGCUGCAUCAACAUUUUAAAAAGACUCUUGCCUCUACUGCACACACAUAUACCCAAAGACAACCCCUACCACAUACCAUUCCUCAAUCCCAUGCUCUUUCUGGCACUAUCCUAUUUUUUUCUUUGCUUCUCUCUCCCUCCCAAAUUUCUGGAAAGUUUCAUCUACACACCCUGGUUCACUUCUCAUAACCUCCUCAUGCACCCUCCCAAACCUCAACCAACUGUAGUCAGGCCUUAAUACCCACAACUCCUCUUAAGGACUUCUUUGUUACUGGAUCUGAAGGAUGCUGUUCUGUCCUUAUUCGACUUAUAUCAGCACCAUAUGACAUCACUUAUCCCACCCUGCUUGAAAUCUUUCCCUUGCCUUGUCCCUCUGAUGGUUUCAUCAUGGGCUCUCCAUCUUUUGCCUGGCUUUUAAAUCUCAGUCUUUUUCAGGGUCCUGCCCCGGGACCUGUUUUCUUUUCAUCUUGUCAUCUUUGUGUGAUUUUAGCUAUUCCUGUGGCUUCCAUUACCUUCUGUAGGCAAAGACCUUUUAAGUCUGUAUUCCCAGCUUGCACCCCUCCCCUAAGUUCCUGACCACCAGAUUCAACAGCUUACUGGCUACCCCCACCUGGGUAUCUCAACAGCACUUAAACUCAGUGGGUUCCAAAGUGAAUUUAUAGUUCUUCUCUUUCAAAUUUGUUUCUGUUCCUUUGUUAUCUUUCUCAUGAUAUAGCACCAACAUCCAUCUAAUUGUCCAAGCCAGACACCUGGAUGUCAUCCUUUGACCUCUUCCUCCCUCUCCAUUUCUAAUGAAUCCCUACCAAGUUCUGUUGAUUCCACUUCCAGAAGUGCCUCUCGAAUCCAUCCACUUCUCUCCAUCCCCACUGCCAAAACCUUAGUCCAAGCCCAUAUCAUCUUUUUCAGAGAAACA